ensembl:lncRNA
AUUUUUUCCAAGAGAAAGUGCAUGAUUUUUGGGUUAAAUGGGGGAUUUCCGAAGAGAAAUUGUGUUUUCAUCAGGUUAAAUGGGGGAUUCUCAAAGAGAAAAUGCAUGAUUUGGGGGGUAAGUUUGGGAUUUUCCAUGUGAAUAUGCGUGAUUUGGGGUUAAAUGGGGGAUUUUGGAAGCGAAAAUGCAUGUUGUUUGAGAUAAACAGGGGAUUUUUGUAGAGCGAAAGCAUGAUUUGGGGGUUAAAUGGGGGAUUUUUGAAGAAAAAAGGCACGAUUUUCGGGUUAAAUGGGAGAUUUUCCAAGGGAAAAGGCAUGAUUUUCGGUGAAAUGGGGGAUUCUUGUAGCAAAAGCGUUUGAUUUGGGGGUGAAAUGAGGGGAUUUUUGAAGAGAAAAUGAGUGAUUUUCAAGUUGAAAGGGUGAUUUUCCAAGAGAAAAUGCG